rnacentral:rRNA from 1 species
AACGAACGCUGGCGGCGUGCCUAACACAUGCAAGUCGAACGCGAAAAGGGGUAACCCUGAGUAGAGUGGCGCACGGGUGAGUAACACGUAGGUGACCUUCCGAAUAGUGGGGGAUAACUCGGAGAAAUCCGGGCUAAUACCGCAUAUGUACGACAAAUCUGAGAGUAGUCGUAGAAAGAAUGCCUCUACUUGUAAGCAUUCGCUAAUCGAUGGGCCUGCGGAGCAUUAGCUAGUUGGUGGGGUAAUGGCCUACCAAGGCUACGAUGCUUAACGGAUCUGAGAGGAUGAUCCGUCACACUGGAACUGAGACACGGUCCAGACUCCUACGGGAGGCAGCAGUGGGGAAUAUUGGACAAUGGGGGCAACCCUGAUCCAGCCAUUCCGCGUGAGUGAAGAAGGCCUUC